UUUACAGGAAUUAAGAUUACUGUGGUGCAGAACAAUGACUCUCCUCCACUCUGGUCAUGGCGUGUGAUGACCAAACCCAGGCUUAUUGUGCCAUGAUUUAGGAAGUAAGAUGAAUGCACAAAAGAAACUGGCCUUUGAUGGUAAAAGUGGUUUAUUUCUGGUUCUCAAGUUUAUUGACAGAAGAUAUUAACAAGGACACAGGAAUCGUGAAGGGCAAAAAAAUAUGCCUUAUCAAAGAAGUGCAUGUACGCUCACCAGGACACGUGUUUGGAGAAGUUGGUACCACCUAACUUUCAUUUGCUCUUUAACCCUUCGGGUUGUUUGCUGGCCAAGUGCCUGGGCCACUGCUGCUUGAAUAAAGUUCUUUGCCUUCUUGGG
rnacentral:lncRNA from 1 species